GACGAACGCUGGCGGCGUGCCUAAUACAUGCAAGUAGAACGCUGAAGGAGGAGCUUGCUUCUCUGGAUGAGUUGCGAACGGGUGAGUAACGCGUAGGUAACCUGCCUGGUAGCGGGGGAUAACUAUUGGAAACGAUAGCUAAUACCGCAUAAUAGUAGAUGUCGCAUGACAUUUGCUUAAAAGGUGCAAUUGCAUCACUACCAGAUGGACCUGCGUUGUAUUAGCUAGUUGGUGAGGUAGCGGCUCACCAAGGCAACGAUACAUAGCCGACCUGAGAGGGUGAUCGGCCACACUGGGACUGAGACACGGCCCAGACUCCUACGGGAGGCAGCAGUAGGGAAUCUUCGGCAAUGGACGGAAGUCUGACCGAGCAACGCCGCGUGAGUGAAGAAGGUUUUCGGAUCGUAAAGCUCUGUUGUAAGAGAAGAACGAGUGUGAGAGUGGAAAGUUCACACUGUGACGGUAUCUUACCAGAAAGGGACGGCUAACUACGUG
rnacentral:rRNA from 1 species